rnacentral:rRNA from 1 species
CCUACGGGAGGCAGCAGUGGGGAAUAUUGCGCAAUGGGCGAAAGCCUGACGCAGCGACGUCGCGUGAGGGAUGAAGGUCUUCGGAUCGUAAACCUCUGUCAGCAGGGAAGAACGGUCACUGUGCUAAUCAGCAGUGCAUUGACGGUACCUGCAAAGGCAGCACCGGCUAACUCCGUGCCAGCAGCCGCGGUAAGACGGAGGGUGCGAGCGUUAAUCGGAAUUACUGGGCGUAAAGCGCUCGUAGGCGGUAUGUUAAGUCAAGGGUGAAAUCCCCGCGCUCAACGUGGGAACUGCCUUUGAAACUGGCAAACUGGAGUGUGUGAGAGGAUAGUGGAAUUCCAGGUGUAGGAGUGAAAUCCGUAGAUAUCUGGAGGAACAUCAGUGGCGAAGGCGACUAUCUGGCACAUAACUGACGCUGAGGAGCGAAAGCGUGGGUAGCAAACAGGAUUAGAUACCCGAGUAGUC